AAGAAUUAAUUUAAUAAUAUAAUAGAUUAUUAAUAGUUAUUUACUUAAAAUUUAAAGAAUUUGGCGGUAGUUUAGUCCAGUUAGAGGAACCUGUUUUAAGAAUUAAAUCGAUAAACCACGUAGAAUCUUACUUAUUUUAGUUAUAAUUAGUUUGUAUACCAUCAUUAUUAGAUAAUUUUAUAAAGAUAGUAAUUAUUGAAGUGAAUUAUGUUAAAUAAAUUAGAUCAAGGUGCAGCUUAUAAAUAAGUUAAAAUGGGUUACAAUAAAUUUUAUUUAUUACGAAAUAAUUUAGGAAUAUAGAGAUUAGGAAGGAGGAUUUAAUUGUAAUAUAAAUUUAAUAAGUUUAUGUGAUAAAGGUUCUAAAUUAUGUACACACCGCCCGUCACCCUCCAA
rnacentral:rRNA from 1 species